rnacentral:rRNA from 1 species
UACGGAGGGAGCUAGCGUUGUUCGGAAUUACUGGGCGUAAAGCGCACGUAGGCGGCUACUCAAGUCAGAGGUGAAAGCCCAGGGCUCAACCCUGGAACUGCCUUUGAAACUAGGUAGCUAGAAUCUUGGAGAGGUCAGUGGAAUUCCGAGUGUAGAGGUGAAAUUCGUAGAUAUUCGGAAGAACACCAGUGGCGAAGGCGGCUCACUGGCCCGGUACUGACGCUGAGGUGCGAAAGCGUGGGGAGCAAACAGG